GUUAUCGUAGCUUAAAUAUCCUAUAAAGCACGGCCUUGAAGCCGCCACGCUGGGCCACAGCCCCGACAACA
rnacentral:tRNA from 1 species